CAGGUCGUGACGCGGGUCAGGACGCGGGUCAAAUCCGAAUUGGGUCGAAAACGGUUAUUUUUUCGGGUUUAGUAUAAAAGGUUUUCUUUCCCACGUUUUUGCCCAUUUUCAAAUCACUGUUCACUUUUAGAGAGAGAAACCGCCGAGUUCUUCCAUUUCAGGAGAGAGAAAGCUUCUACUCUUUGAUCUUCUCUUCGAUUUCUUCAAUUUCUGGUUUUGAAGGUGUGAUUGUGAUAUUUUCCGAUUUACUUCAAGUUUCGUUUCAGUUCACAUAAUGAGGUCAAAAAAUGCAAACAAAGCAUCUGAUUAUCACGAUGUUGGGAAGUCGAGUCAAGAUGUUGAAGGCAGUUCAAGGCCGACUGAAGAUAUUCCAGCUAGUUCAAAGCUGAGCGCAGAUGAGAGGAAAAUUGGAAGGGGGCCAAAGAAGUCGAAAAUUAAAGUAGAAUAUACUGAAGAUGGUGGGGAAGUUGUAGAGUUGGAUAGGUAUAACUCCUAUCUUUGUAACUGUUAUUUAUCACUGUUUAAUUAGUUGGAUAGGUAUGACUAUUUAAAAAUUGAUUUUGCAAUUAUCAUAACUUAUUUUACAUUU